UGGCAAUCUUUGAGGAAACAAGACGACAAGUUAUAGUGUUGCCCUCUUCACCAGCUCUAAAUCCCUGGGGCCUGGGCUUAUACGUUUCUGGAUUAUACAUUUGCAGUUUGAUUUGUACCGUUUGGGGCCCUUCGAGAUUGUUUACAGCUUCAAGGAGGUUUCCUGCUUGCUAUCUGAUGGGGACAGAGGGAGGUAUGCUGCCACAGCUCAACUUUGUUUGCUAUUUCUCUGCUUAACGAGAAUGCUAGAUAACCUUUGGUUGCCGUUUAGGCUGUGAUCCGGCUAAUCUAUGUCGUUCACUGGUAGCGUGGCACUCCGAUCUUACCCUGUGCUCUUGGCUGGCGUUAGCUCUGUUUGCUCAAGUGGUCAGGAGGCUGGCUUGCGGAGGAGCUGGGGCGUAGCCAAGGCAGCAUAGCAGCGUGGUUAGCCAAGAAUCACAGAUUCCUAGGGACCACUGGAACCAUCUAAUCCAGCUUCUGGCCAGAGAAUUUGCCCCUAGUAAUUCCUCGGCUCGCUCUGUUAGAAAAAUAUCUCGCCCUUGCUGUGGUGGUGUCAGGACUCCUGAGUUCUGUUCCCGGCUCUGGGAGAGAGGUAAAUUGGGGGUCUGUUGAUCUGUUCCCAGCUCUACCACUACAUUGCUGCGGGGCCGUGGGCAAAAUCGUUUUAACUUCAUUGUGCCUCAGUUUGCCUCAACUGGUAAACUGAACCAGAAAGACGAUGGGAGUCUGGAUUGGAGAUGGGAACCCAGGUAUCCUGGCUCCCAGUCCUGUGCUUUGAUCACCUCUCCACCCAAAAGUAUCCAGUUUUAAAAAUAUUACUGCCUUAUCCCGUUUAAACAACCGCCACACAACAGCCUUAAGAUCUGAGGCACAGGGCAGGCAAGAUCGCUACACAGGGCAGGGACUAGAAAACUCAGCUUUCCUGAGCCAUCGUUCGCUGCACUCUCCACUAGACCACACUGCCUCUCAUGGGGGGGAGUGGUCACCAUCCUGCCUUAUUAAUGUAAAUGGAAGGGCUCUCUGGUUCCAGUUAAGAGCCACAGGUGUAGAUCCCCCUGUAACUAACCCCAAGCAUUGAAAAAAAUCACAAGCCCUAUCCCGAAAUAAUCACAAGGUUAGUGUAAAAAUCGGGCGCGUCUAAACAACCGUUUGGGUUUCUUGUUCUUCGCCUCCUCAUUUCAAAUCCACGGUUUGUGGCUUUUUUUUUCUUCUGCAACCACCAGACCCAGGUGCUUCCUUUCAGUUAAAAAAAAAAUAUGAAAACUGGGAUGUUCCUGUCAUCUCAGGACUCCAGGAGUUGAGGCUUGAAGGAAACACCCUGCGUAGAAUCCCAGAGACCAGCUGCUCUCAGAUGGUCAGGACUGGGUGGAGGGGAUGGGGGCAGAAGUCAGGAAUGCAGGUGGGAAUAAAUCAUUAACUAGAGGAUAGGGUUAAAUAUUAUCUGCCUUGCAGUGCACUAGUUAGGAUCCCAUUAUAUGGACAUAGGGUAAAGAGGCAGCCUCUACCCUAGAGACAGUGAAAGUUGCCAGCUGGUUCUGUGCGUUAGCCCUGGAGUAUUAGCAAGGAAAGGGUUAAAUCCAGCUUGAUCUGUUCUCUUUCUUUGCAGCUGAGAGGUCCGAAGUCCUCUGAUGUGAAGGACAGGAGAAACGGAAACUGCCAAGCUUUUCCAUGUAUCCCAGGGGAGCACGUCCUGGCAGAGGCAGCUCGCGUGAGGAAGAUCGUCCCAUCCAGGGCUGGCAAAGGAUCCAUCCUGGGCACCCU